rnacentral:tRNA from 1 species
GCCUCGAUAGCGCAGCUUGGAGAGCUUCAGACUGAAGAUCCGAAGGUCACCAGUUAGAUCCUGGUUCGGGAUU